rnacentral:rRNA from 1 species
AACGCUAGCGGCAGGCUUAACACAUGCAGUCGAGGGGUAACAGGGAGUGCUUGCACUCCGCUGACGACCGGCGCACGGGUGCGUAACGCGUAUGCAACCUACCUUCUACAGGGGGAUAGCCCAGAGAAAUUUGGAAUAAUACCCCAUACGAUCAUUAAUCGGCAUCGAUUGAUGAAGAAAACUCCGGUGGUAGAAGAUGGGCAUGCGUCCUAUUAGUUAGUUGGUGAGGUAACGGCUCACCAAGACGUCGAUAGGUAGGGGUCCUGAGAGGGAGAUCCCCCACACUGGUACUGAGACACGGACCAGACUCCUACAGGAGGCAGCAGUGAGGAAUAUUGGACAAUGGAGGCAACUCUGAUCCAGCCAUGCCGCGUGCAGGAAGACGGCCCUAUGGGUUGUAAACUGCUUUUAUACAGGAAGAAUUGUACCUACGUGUAGGUAUUUGACGGUACUGUACGAAUAAGGAUCGGCUAACUCC